rnacentral:rRNA from 1 species
UACGUAGGUGGCAAGCGUUGUCCGGAUUUAUUGGGCGUAAAGGGUGCGUAGGUGGCGCCGUAAGUCGGGUGUGAAAUUUCGGAGCUUAACUCCGAAACUGCAUUCGAUACUGCGGUGCUUGAGGACUGGAGAGGAGACUGGAAUUCAUGGUGUAGCAGUGAAAUGCGUAGAGAUCAUGAGGAAGACCAGUGGCGAAGGCGGGUCUCUGGACAGUUCCUGACGCUGAGGCACGAAGGCCAGGGGAGCAAACGGG